UGAAGUCUUCAGGGCAGGGAUUGUUUCCCUACCGGUGGUAUAGCCCACGAGCCGCAAGGCAUGAUUCGGUGAGAUUCCGAAGCCGACAGUAAAGUCUGGAUGAAAGAAGAUGAAA
rnacentral:ncRNA from 2 species